rnacentral:ncRNA from 1 species
AAGAAGACUUUGAUGAGGAUUAUUAGUUUUGAUCGAAUUCUGUCAGAGAGUCGGCGGGUGGUGAAAGCCGAUGGUUCGUCAAAAUCAACUCGCCUCUGAGUCAUGCGGUCAACUCCAAGUGGAUCAAAUCGCAUCGUUUCACCCGCGUUAAGGGUGCUAAAGGGAGCAUUUGGCAAAGUAUGCCAAGGGCUAACUAGGGUGGUACCACGGGAGCAACCUCUCGUCCCUAGC